AAAUGCGGCAAAGAAACCAACCCGAAGGGAAACUAAACUGAAAGUCCCUUCCGCCUACGUUUGCAAGAAGGCGAAGCCGGCCUCGGGACAAUGCUCUGCACAUAGCAGGGGCUCAAUCACCACCAUCAGGUUGCAGGUGGACGACGCAAUGGAGAUGCUGAUGCCCUCAGAGUCUCUCCCGGAGGUUCAGGACCGACAAGGUGGACAAAGCAACUGAUUAUAGUUCUAAUGGCUUGCCCCUGGCCCUCUCCUUCCAUCCCUGUCGGGAUUGCGCCUUUUGAGGCUCAGACUGCAAGGUCCAGUUUAUUUCCCGUGGAUAAUGGACGGCAGGUUGAGUGCGUGGGAACAACGCACAGGUCUAAGGGCAGCGUGGAGCUCCAAGGAGCUGGACCUCAUUUUCCCUUUUUCCAAGCUUCCCCCUUCCAUGAUCGAGUGGUGGUCAUUUUCACCGGUGGACAGCUCAUCCCGUAAGGCCUCCGAGCGGAAGAUCUCAGAAAACCGACGGAGGUCGCUGCUGCUCUUUCUACCAAACCUUCAACCUUUCAAAACAAAAAAAAGUUAAGGCUUGGGUGUCGGGGGCUGGAAGGGAGGGAAGGAGGAAUUUUGACAUCGUCACGACUCCGAUUCGCCCGACCAAAUACUGUAUUCCCAAACUGGAACUCUUCAACAAGGCAUCGGCAAACAGCCCCGCA